rnacentral:lncRNA from 1 species
CAUUCCUGACAUGGUUUAUUUGACAUGGUUUUCACAACAGUCCCUUCAUACCAGCAUGUCAAGGGGUGAGGAAUGGAAGGGAGCAGCUCGGGUAUGGCCCUUGCCACCCCUGGGACCCCCUGUCCCCAUUCCCUGAUUCCCCAGGGGGGUGUUCCCAUUGCUUGGGAAACAAAACUGACAGUGUGAAUCUUCACUAAAAGCAAACAGUUUCGAACAGCACCGAGUGUUCUGAGGGAGUGAGAAGGGGACAUGUGGGUAGAACCAUGGAAUCAAGCAGGUUGGAAAAGAGCUUUAAGCUCAUCCAGUCCAACUGCUCCCCAGCACUGCCAAGGCCACCACUAACCCAUGGCACUGAGGCCUCGGCUACACGGGGUGUGAACACUUGCAGUGCCGGUGACUCCAGCCCUGCCCUGGGCAGCCUGUUCCAAUGCCUGAGCACCCUCUGGGGAAGGAAUUGUUCCUCAGCUCCAUCUAAACCUGCCCUGGGGCAGCUUGAGGCCGUUUCCUCUUGUCCCAUCCCUUGUUCCUUGGGAGCAGAGCCCAGCCCCCUCCUGGCUCCAUCCUCCUGUCAGGCAGUUGCAGAGAGCGAGAAGGUCCCCCCUGAGCCUUCUCUUCUCCAGACUAAACCCCCCAGGUCCCUCAGCCGUUCCUCAUCACACUUGUGCUCCAGGCCCUGCACCAGCUCCGGUGCCCUUCUCUGGCCCCGCUCCAGCACCUCAAUGUCUCUCUUGCAGUGAGGGGCCCAGAGCUGAGCACCACCUCCGAGGCGCUGUGCCCCGGUGCUGUCAGGCCCUGGCUGAACACCCACUGCAAUGCUCCCUCCCAGACACCAGCGCUUUUCCCAAAGCACUCGUUUCUCACCCUAAACCGUGGGCGCCGAGCUGCAGAGACGCAGUUUGCACCCACCUUUUAGCUGCGCGCACCCAUGGGCGCUGCCCGUCCCUCUUUAAAGGUUUAAUGUGGACUUUUCACGCCUGUUUCUGCAUCAAAACAUAAAAACCUCCCGUUUGUGCUCCCGAGGAAGGGCCCUUUCCCCCUCCCCGGCCCAUGGGGCUCCACCAGCCCCUUCCCCAAGCACUCAGGGGGUGGCUGCCCC